GCGCUCCCACGACCCACCCUUAACCUCAGACAACUCCUGCACGCUCUCUAUUUGGGCUACGAGAGCUCGCUUCUCCACGUGGUUUCUGAACAACAUGCAGGCCUCCUCUGACCAGCUGGUCUGCGUCACACCUGCAAACAAUGAAGCCACUGGAGAAAGAACAUCUGACCUGCCAGCUGUGCAGUGACAGUCUGAAAGGGCAGCUGUCGAAACUCCUCCAGCAGAGGCCUGAGGAAGGUGCUGCGGACCAGCUCGUGUCUGCCGUAGUCCAGCUCAUAGACAGAGACCCAGCCGUUGGUCAGAACCCCCUUCACCUGCACACGGUGCCAGCUAGGUAGGGGCAGGCAUCAGCUUAUGCAGGUCCUGCCAUGGCUGCAGCACAAAGUGACCAGGAUGGCAGGCCACUGACACAAACACAUCCAUAUUUUGUCCAGGCUGGAAGAGGGAGAGGAACAAGAUGUUGAUUAUUCAUUCUGUGAUUAUAGUAGGUCCAUCUGUUUGAUUACUGACUACUGUAAGUGAUGUCAUACAAAGCUUUCAGCAGUAAAUCUGUAAUCCAGUCUCACCAUGGACAAAAGGUUUAUAUUAUGAGCACAACUUGUCUACUUGGCUGAUUUUAUAUUAAUAAAAAUGCAGGAAACAAUACAGUAAAUGUAGUAAAAAUCUACUUAAAGCAAGGCACCAGGGGUUGGUUACAGUAUGUUGUGGGCAUAUAUGAUUGUGGCUCUGUUGGGCCUGAACAUCAACAUGCAUCAGUACAACGCUGUGUAGAACCCACCUGGGGAAGAACCAGCGGAGGAGGCAGUGGAAGUGGCAGCGUCGGACUUAUGGAGGCUGUAUUCUGGAAAGACAGGUCCUCUGAUCCUUGAUGAGGCUGGCCUGAAGGCUUGCCAUUGGGGCCGGGGGCCGAGCUGUCUAGUGUCAACAUCUGAACUAGAGCACAGAGGCCUAAGAAUCAGAAAUCACGCCAUCAAGAGGUUUAAUUCAAGUUUUCUAAGUUUCACUUAGGAAACAGAAAAUGUUUGCAGUUCUGUGGCCUUGAUUGAUAUUACCCGUUUCCUCAUUGAUGUUAUUGCUAAUAGUGGCAUUGUUUUUCCGUGUUGAAAAUAAGGCCCACGAGUUGGCCAGCUGACGAUUGACGCUUUUGUCCAGAUCCUGACUGUCCACACCAACGAAGAGGUACAUGUGAACCAGUCUGUUCCCUUUGUGCUCUUCCAAUUUUACAAUCUAAGAUGAGGUAGAGCAAAAGAAAAACACCUCCUUUACAUCAUCAUCAUUUUUCAUUUGUAUUAAGCUUUCAAAUGAUAAUUUGCUAUUUAAACUGUAUAUUAAAUGUGUAAAAUAU